CACAAUCAAGUCAUAAAAUAUAAAAAAUAGUUGGGAUCCAGAGGCCAAUAAAUUUGUGGAUAGCAGCUAUGGAUAACAGCGGAAGCAACGCACGCAAGUCAGAACAGGAAAAAGCACUGCCAGAGGUAAAUAGAACGAAGGAUCAGCCAGAGGAAAUUCAAACCGAUAAAAAAGUCAAUGAACCGGUAACUGUGAUCGAGGAGGCUACGCACAAAUCCACUGAGGCAGAUGGUGGUGAUGGCGAUGAUGAUAUCACAUCAACUGAUCUAGAAGAAAUCAUUGGUCGACCUGCGACCGAAGCUUAUGUUGAAGACUCUUCUAGAACUGAAAAAACAUCAAGAGAGAAUGAAGACAGGGCAAAGUAGAAGAAUGUGAAAAGAAAUAAAUAUCUGCUUAUAAAAAUUAAAGCAGGUAAUUGCUUUUGUGUUGAAGAUUGUCUAUGUAUUUAAACAUUGCAAAUAAAUCAGGAGGGUUCAUGUUAUUUCAAA